rnacentral:rRNA from 1 species
AACGAACGCUGGCGGCAUGCCUAACACAUGCAAGUCGAACGAGAAAUCCGGGUCUAGUGGCGCAGGGGUGCGUAACGCGUGGGAAGCUGCCCUAAAGUUCGGAAUAACUCCCCGAAAGGGGUGAUAAUACCGGAAAAUGUUGUCGGACAAAAGAUUUAUCGCCUUUGGAUGGGCACGCGUUGGAUUAGGUAGUUGGUAGGGUAAAAGCCUACCAAGGCGACGAUCCAUAGCUGGCCGGAGAGGAUGAUCAGCCACACUGGGACUGAGACACGGCCCAGACUCCUACGGGACGCAGCAGUGGGGAAUAUUGGACCAUGGGCGCAAGCCUGAUCCAGCCCUGCCGCGUGAGUGAUGCAUGCCUUAGGGUUGUAAAGCUCUUUUACUCGUGAUGAGAAUGACAGUACCUGGAGAAUAAGCUCCGGCUAACUCCGUG